GAAUUAAAGAUUUAUCGGUAACGGAUGGGGAUGCGUGACAUUAGAUAGUAGGCGGGGUAACGGCCCACCUAGUCUACGAUGUCUAGGGGUUCUGAGAGGAAGGUCCCCCACACUGGAACUGAGACACGGUCCAGACUCCUACGGGAGGCAGCAAUGAGGAAUAUUGGUCAAUGGUCGGAAGACUGAACCAGCCAAGUAGCGUGAAGGAUGAAGGUUCUAUGGAUUGUAAACUUCUUUAUACGGGAAUAAACCUCCCACGUGUGGGAGCUUGUAUGUACCGUAUGAAUAAGCAUCGGCUAACUCCGUG
rnacentral:rRNA from 1 species